rnacentral:rRNA from 1 species
GGUUAAGCGACUAAGCGUACACGGUGGAUGCCUAGGCAAUCAGAGGCGAUGAAGGACGUGCUAAUCUGCGAUAAGCGUCGGUAAGGUGAUAUGAACCGUUAUAACCGACGAUUUCCGAAUGGGGAAACCCAGUGCAAUUCGUUGCACUAUCGUUUGAUGAAUACAUAGUCAAACGAAGCGAACCGGGGGAACUGAAACAUCUCAGUACCCCGAGGAAAAGAAAUCAACCGAGAUUCCCCUAGUAGCGGCGAGCGAACGGGGAGCAGCCCAGAGUCUUAAUCAGCAUUAGCAUCAGGAGAACGGUCUGGAAAGUCCGGCAGUAAAGGGUGAUAGCCCCGUAUCCGAAGGUGUUAGUGUUGUGAACUCGACGAGUAGGGCGGGACACGUGUUAUCCUGUCUGAAUAUGGGGGGACCAUCCUCCAAGGCUAAAUACUCCUGAUUGACCGAUAGUGAACCAGUACCGUGAGGGAAAGGCGAAAAGAACCCCGGCGAGGGGAGUGAAAUAGAACCUGAAACCGUGUACGUACAAGCAGUGGGAGCCUUGAUUUAUCAGGGUGACUGCGUACCUUUUGUAUAAUGGGUCAGCGACUUAUAUUCUGUAGCAAGGUUAACCGUAUAGGGGAGCCGUAGGGAAACCGAGUCUUAACUGGGCGAAUGAGUUGCAGGGUAUAGACCCGAAACCCGGUGAUCUAGCCAUGGGCAGGUUGAAGGUUGGGUAACACUAACUGGAGGACCGAACCGACUAAUGUUGAAAAAUUAGCGGAUGACUUGUGGCUGGGGGUGAAAGGCCAAUCAAACCGGGAGAUAGCUGGUUCUCCCCGAAAGCUAUUUAGGUAGCGCCUCGUGAACUCAUCUUCGGGGGUAGAGCACUGUUUCGACUAGGGGGUCAUCCCGACUUACCAACUCGAUGCAAACUACGAAUACCGAAGAAUGUUAUCACGGGAGACACACGGCGGGUGCUAACGUUCGUCGUGAAGAGGGAAACAACCCAGACCGCCAGCUAAGGUCCCAAAGUCAUAGUUAAGUGGGAAACGAAGUGGGAAGGCUCAGACAGCCAGGAUGUUGGCUUAGAAGCAGCCAUCAUUUAAAGAAAGCGUAAUAGCUCACUGGUCGAGUCGGCCUGCGCGGAAGAUGUAACGGGGCUAAACUAUGCACCGAAGCUGCGGCAGCGAUAUUUAGAUAUUGUUGGGUAGGGGAGCGUUCUGUAAGCCUGUGAAGGUGUACUGUGAGGUAUGCUGGAGGUAUCAGAAGUGCGAAUGCUGACAUAAGUAACGAUAAUGCGGGUGAAAAACCCGCACGCCGGAAGACCAAGGGUUCCUGUCCAACGUUAAUCGGGGCAGGGUGAGUCGACCCCUAAGGCGAGGCAGAAAUGCGUAGUCGAUGGGAAACGGGUUAAUAUUCCCGUACUGGUGAUAAUUGCGAUGGGGGGACGGAGAAGGCUAGGCUAUCCGGGCGACGGUUGUCCCGGUUUAAGAAUGUAGGCAGGUGAAUUAGGCAAAUCCGGUUCACUAUAUGCUGAGGUUCGAUGACGAGUCACUACGGUGAUGAAGUAGCUCAUGCCCCGCUUCCAGGAAAAGCCUCUAAGCUCUAGAUUAUCAUUAAUCGUACCCCAAACCGACACAGGUGGUCAGGUAGAGAAUACUCAGGCGCUUGAGAGAACUCGGGUGAAGGAACUAGGCAAAAUGGUGCCGUAACUUCGGGAGAAGGCACGCUGGCGCUAGGUGAAGUCCCUCGCGGAUGGAGCUGAAGCCAGUCGCAGAUACCAGCUGGCUGCAACUGUUUAUUAAAAACACAGCACUGUGCAAACACGAAAGUGGACGUAUACGGUGUGACGCCUGCCCGGUGCUGGAAGGUUAAUUGAUGGGGUUAUCCGUAAGGAGAAGCUCUUGAUCGAAGCCCCAGUAAACGGCGGCCGUAACUAUAACGGUCCUAAGGUAGCGAAAUUCCUUGUCGGGUAAGUUCCGACCUGCACGAAUGGCGUAAUGAUGGCCAGGCUGUCUCCACCCGAGACUCAGUGAAAUUGAACUCGCUGUGAAGAUGCAGUGUACCCGCGGCAAGACGGAAAGACCCCGUGAACCUUUACUAUAGCUUGACACUGAACAUUGAGCCUUGAUGUGUAGGAUAGGUGGGAGGCUUCGAAGCGUGGACGCCAGUCUGCGUGGAGCCAACCUUGAAAUACCACCCUUUAAUGUUUGAUGUUCUAACGUUGCCCCGUUAUCCGGGGUGCGGACAGUGUCUGGUGGGUAGUUUGACUGGGGCGGUCUCCUCCCAAAGAGUAACGGAGGAGCACGAAGGUUGGCUAAGCAUGGUCGGACAUCAUGCGGUUAGUGCAAAGGCAUAAGCCAGCUUGACUGCGAGAGUGACGGCUCGAGCAGGUACGAAAGUAGGUCUUAGUGAUCCGGUGGUUCUGAAUGGAAGGGCCAUCGCUCAACGGAUAAAAGGUACUCCGGGGAUAACAGGCUGAUACCGCCCAAGAGUUCAUAUCGACGGCGGUGUUUGGCACCUCGAUGUCGGCUCAUCACAUCCUGGGGCUGAAGUAGGUCCCAAGGGUACGGCUGUUCGCCGUUUAAAGUGGUACGCGAGCUGGGUUUAGAACGUCGUGAGACAGUUCGGUCCCUAUCUGCCGUGGGCGUUGGAAGAUUGAAAGGGGCUGCUCCUAGUACGAGAGGACCGGAGUGGACGCACCACUGGUGUUCGGGUUGUCAUGCCAAUGGCAUUGCCCGGUAGCUAAGUGCGGAAGAGAUAACCGCUGAAAGCAUCUAAGCGGGAAACUUGCCUUGAGAUGAGUCUUCCCUGACCCUUUAAGGGUCCUAAAGGAACGUUUAAGACUAAGACGUUGAUAGGUUGGGUGUGUAAGCAUAGCGAUAUGUUGAGCUAACCAAUACUAAUGAACCGUGAGGCUUAACCUG